GGUGAACGCUGGCGGCGUGCUUAAGACAUGCAAGUCGAACGGCAGUCUUCGGACUGUAGUGGCGCACGGGUGAGUAACGCGUAACUGACCUACCCCAAAGUCGCGGAUAACGAUUCGAAAGAAUCGCUAAUCCGUGAUGUGCUGUCAGAUUGUGUUCUGCCAGUAAAGGUUGAUUGCUUUGGGAUGGGGUUGCGUUCCAUCAGCUAGUUGGUGGGGUAAAGGCCCACCAAGGCGACGACGGAUAGCCGGCCUGAGAGGGUGGCCGGCCACAGGGGCACGGAGACACGGGUCCCACUCCUACGGGAGGCAGCAGUUAGGAAUCUUCCACAAUGGGCGAAAGCCUGAUGGAGCGACGCCGCGUGAGGGAUGAAGGUCUUCGGAUCGUAAACCUCUGAAUCAGGGACGAAAGACACUUCGGUGGGAUGACGGUACCUGAGUAAUAGCACCGGCUAACUCCGUGCCAGCCGCCGCGGUAACAC
rnacentral:rRNA from 1 species